rnacentral:rRNA from 1 species
AGUCUGGUGCCAGCAGCCGCGGUAAUUCCAGCUCUCAUAAUGUAUAGAAUUAUUGUUGCGGUUAAAAAGUUCGUAGUUGGAUUUCAUACCGCUUGGGGGUCGUGCUUAACGGCGCGCACUUCCGGCGGUGUUUAUGUCGGGUGGGGCUUGCCUCACCCAACAUGGAUUACUUUGAACGGCUUAAGUGCUCAAGGCGGGUCUUCGGACCGAAUACCGGUGCAUGGAAUAAUGGAACAAGGUUUCGGCCGAGUUUUAUUGGUUUUGUCGGCUGAGACAAUGGUUAACAGGAACAGCUGGGGGCACUCGUAUCCCAGCGCGAGAGGUGAAAUUCAUGGACCGUUGGGAGACGCCCUAAAGCGAAGGCAUUUGCCAAGAGUGUUUUCAUUAAUCAAGAACGAAAGUCAGAGGUUCGAAGGCGAUUAGAUACCGCCCUAGUUCUGACCGUAAACGAUGCAAACUAUCAAUCCGCCAGCAGCUUUCAGUUGUUGGCGGGCGGAUCGACGGAAACGAAAGUUUUUCUGUUCCGGGGGAAGUAUGGUUGCAAAGCUGAAACUUAAAGGAAUUGACGGAAGGGCACCACCAGGAGUGGAGCUUGCGGCUUAAUUUGACCCAACACGGGAAACCUCACCCGGCCAGUACAUCAUAAGGAUUGACAGAUUGAAAGCUCUUUCAUGAUUUGAUGAAUGGUGGUGCAUGGCCGUUCUUAGUUCGUGGUGUGAACUGUCUGCUUAAUUGCGAUAACGAGCGAGGCUCCGACUGUUAAAUAGCACCCGUCUCAUUGCGGGCGGGCGGCUUCUUAACUGGAUUCGCGACUUCAAGUCGCAAGAAAUGGAGCAAUAACAGGUCUGUGAUGCCCUUAGAUGUUCGGGGCCGCACGCGUGCUACAAUGAUGGUAACAGCGUGAUUGUCCUCGCCCGACAGGGCUUGGCAAACAGUUGAGAUAUUAUUAUGGCUGGAAUUGAGUGUUGAAAUUUUCUCUCAUGAACGAGGAAUUCCAAGUAAAUGCGAGUCAUCAACUUGCAUUGAUUACGUCCCUGCCCUUUGUACACACCGCCCGUCGCUACCCGGGACUGAGUUGUUUCGAGAAAUCUACGGACCGGCCUCCCCUGGCAACAGGGCUGGCUGGAAAGUAAAUUAAUCGCAAUGGCUUGAACCGGGUAAAAGUCGUAACAAGGUAUCAGUAGGUGAACCUGCUGAUG